CAUUACGUUCCCUUGAAAUAUUCGACUAUAUAAAGCCCCUAAAAAGUUUUCCGGCACAGAUUCUCAAUGCUUACCAAUCGCCUUUUUCCUAUCAAGAUGCAUGUAAGUUUCUGUCAUUUUAGUACUCUUCCGGGGAAAAUUUUAUGAUUUUGGUAGCAUUGCAUGUUUUUGUUGUUGCAGAUUUUGGAGCACCACAGAAUUAUAGUUCAGAGUGAAGCGUCAAUCUCAGCGAUGAUGAUGGAUUCUUAGGAUAAUGGAUUUAAUAUGCCAACCACAGGUGAUUUUGAAGUAAAGUGAGGCGAGUUUUGGUGAGCCUGGUGACAGAUUUUCAAUGCCCUUGCAUUUGCCGUCAGGGUAAGAACUGUUGGAGGUUGUUCUUACAGGGUGUUACAAGAUUUAUGUUGUAUGAUCCUUUUUUGCAGUCGAUUAUGUGAUUGUACUACAUGGACAAAUUCACUUUAUAUUUCAUAAAUAGAUGUUCUAAAUUGUGUCCGUCCAUCUGCGAAUAAUUUGGGGUGGCCAUUGUGGGAACACAAAUUGAUUUGUGUGUGAUUGUUCACGGUUUCUUUAUGGACCCUUAAUAAGUUCUGGAAUUCCACCGGUCAAUGAAGAAACACCACCGCUUAAUAGUCUUUACACUGUGAACAAAUACUACCUAUAAAAUUUAUUCAUUUUGAGUUGUUUUCGUUAAUACAAUUUGA